rnacentral:SRP_RNA from 1 species
GCCGGGCGCAGUGGCACGUGCCUGUAGUCCCAGCUACUCGGGAGGCUGAGGUGGGAGGACCGAUUGAGCCCAGGAGUUCUGGGCUGUAGGGCACUAUGUCGAUCGGGUGUCCACACUAAAUUUGGCAUUGAUUUGGUGACCUCCCGGGAGUGGGGGACCACCAGGUUGCCUAAGGAGGGGUGAACUGACCCAGGUCAGAAAUGGAGCAGGUCAAAAUUCCCCUGCUGAUCCAUAGUGGGAUCGUGCCUGUGAAUAGCCAGCCACUGCACCAGCCUGGGCAACAUAAGGAGACGUUGUCUCU